rnacentral:rRNA from 1 species
CGCGUAGGCGGCUCUUGAAGUCAGGCGUGAAAGCCCCGGGCUCAACCUGGGAGGUGCGCUUGAUACUCGAGGGCUGGAGUACGGGAGAGGAGAGUGGAAUUCCCAGUGUAGAGGUGAAAUUCGUAGAUAUUGGGAAGAACACCGGUGGCGAAGGCGGCUCUCUGGACCGUAACUGACGCUGAGGCGCGAAAGCGUGGGGAGCAAACAGGAUUAGAUACCCUGGUAGUCCACGCCGUAAACGAUGUGCGCUAGACGUUGGAGGCCAUAGGUCUCCGGUGUCGCAGCUAACGCUUUAAGCGCACCGCCUGGGGAGUACGGCCGCAAGGUUAAA